rnacentral:rRNA from 1 species
GGAUAACGUGCCCUUAAGAGGAGGAUAAUCUCGGGAAAUUGAGGAUAAUACCCCAUAGGCCAUGAAUGCUGGAAUGCUUUAUGGCCCAAAGCUCCGGCGCCUAAGGAUUGGUCUGCGGCCUAUCAGGUUGUAGUGGGUGUAACGGACCCACUAGCCUAUGACGGGUAUGGGCCUUGAGAGAGGGAGCCCAGAGAUGGACUCUGAGACACGAGUCCAGGCCCUACGGGGCGCAGCAGUCGCGAAACCUUCACACUGGGGGAAACCCUGAUGAGGGAAUUCCUAGUGCCUGCAUUUUUUGUAGGCUUUUAUCUAGUGUAGAUAGCUAGAAGAAUAAGGGCCGGGUAAGACGGGUGCCAGCCGCCGCGGUAAUACCCGCGGCCCAAGUGGUGGUCGAUAUUAUUGAGUCUAAAACGUCCGUAGCCGGUUCAGUAAAUCUUUGGGUAAAUCGGCCAGCUUAACUGACCGAAUUCCGAAGAGACUGCUGAACUUGGGACCGGGAGAGGCCAGAGGUACUUCUGGGGUAGGGGUAAAAUCCUGUAAUCCUAGAAGGACCACCGGUGGCGAAGGCGUCUGGCUAGAACGGAUCCGACGGUGAGGGACGAAGCCCUGGGGCGCAAACGGGAUUAGAUACCCCGGUAGUCCAGGGUGUAAACGCUGCAGGCUUGGUGUUGGGGGUCCUUCGGGGGCGCCCAGUGCCGGAGAGAAGUUGUUAAGCCUGCUACUUGGGGAGUACGUCCGCAAGGAUGAAACU